rnacentral:tRNA from 1 species
GGAUGAGUAGCUCAGAGGCAGAGCGGGGAGCUGUUAACUCCUAGGUCGGGAUUUCGAAAUUCCCCUCGUCCG